GUUAAAAGGCCAAGAUAAAAAUGAAAUGUCCUCCACCAAACCCAAAGCAAACAAGCCAAAGCAAAGAAGGACAACCAGACUGAUCAAUCCAGUUUGUUUGUGAACUUUGGCAGUAGUGACGUCCUGUCCAGGUCCCUGGAGCUCCCUUGUGUCACACCUGUGGAAAGUACACAGCGGGCCACUAGAAAGAUGAAAGUUCCCUGAAAACGUUUGUGUCUAACAGCCCAAUACUGGGCCAAAGCAGUGGUUCUGAGGGAGGGAAAGAGUCCCCUACACCCAAAUGGGACAUUCCAAUUCACCUACUGUGUAACCAAGCAGACAGCCUUUGGCAGAUCUCCAAACAGACCAUGAAUGCAGAUCCCGUUCUGAAAAGACCCCUGUCAGACAUUAGCACAGCAUGCUCGGUUCAUCUCCCAGUUUCAAUGCAUGAUGAUGCCGUGUGGCGGUGGUGGUUUUGAAAAAUCAGAACUACAUUGCACUGUUUGUACAUCCAGCUGUACAUUUUACAUGUUAAUUUCAGUCUUGUGCCUGUGUGUCUGUAUGGUCCAGUGAUAGAAAGUCUACCUCACACUGUCUCUGUGGAACCUGAUGGCUCUGAAACAGCCGCCACCCAGUCCAUCCUGAGCCACAGCUGCAACCCCUGGGUCACCAAACCUUUCAGCAUCUCCAUCUGGACAAACAGCGCAGACUCAUCCCUGCACUCCUUAAACCCUCCCACCAGCCUGGUUCCUCCUGCUCCAGCCCCCGUUGAUGCUAGCUGCACCUACAACCCCUGGAGCAUUUGGACAUCUUCCCAAUCCUCCCAGUGCCGGUGGACCCCUGUCCCUUGACCCAGCAACUUCAACAGAAUUGGCACCUGAGCCAUUGUUUGCUUCAAACAAUGCCAUAUAAUGCCAUGUUUUUUCCCUUUAACUGCCCCUACAUUAAGUUAUUUUAAGCCGGUUUCCAAGUGAAUGACAUACAAAUUAUUUUAAAUUAAUUACUGUCAAGUAUGUAAAAGCUAUAUAGCGAGUGUAAUACAGAAAACUCUGCUGCCCUUGUCAACAUUUUGCGCUUUUAUGGUUUUACACAGCUAUAGAUGGAUAUGGCCAUAUGGGAUAAGUGCUGCAUCACUUUAAAAUGAACAUCUGUAUGUUUUUUAAUAAUAAAGUUAUGUCCACAUGUAUUUGACA
rnacentral:lncRNA from 1 species